UAGGGAAUCUUCGGCAAUGGGGGCAACCCUGACCGAGCAACGCCGCGUGAGUGAAGAAGGUUUUCGGAUCGUAAAGCUCUGUUGUAAGAGAAGAACGUGUGUGAGAGUGGAAAGUUCACACAGUGACGGUAACUUACCAGAAAGGGACGGCUAACUACGUGCCAGCAGCCGCGGUAAUACGUAGGUCCCGAGCGUUGUCCGGAUUUAUUGGGCGUAAAGCGAGCGCAGGCGGUUUAAUAAGUCUGAAGUUAAAGGCAGUGGGUUAACCAUUGUUCGCUUUGGAAACUGUUAAACUUGAGUGCAGAAGGGGAGAGUGGAAUUCCAUGUGUAGCGGUGAAAUGCGUAGAUAUAUGGAGGAACACCGGUGGCGAAAGCGGCUCUCUGGUCUGUAACUGACGCUGAGGCUCGAAAGCGUGGGGAGCAAACAGG
rnacentral:rRNA from 1 species